GUGCUCCCCCGCCAAUUCCUUUAAGUUUCAGCCUUGCGACCGUACUCCCCAGGCGGCCUGCUUAAUACCUUCGCUCCGGCACUGCAUGACCACGAAGACCACGCAACACCCAGCAGGCAGCGUUUACAGCUAGGACUACCCGGGUAUCUAAUCCGGUUUGCUCCCCUAGCUUUCAUCCCUCACCGUCAGAUCUGUUCUAGCUAGGCGCCUUCGCCACAGGUGGUCUUCCUAGGAUUACAGGAUUUUACUCCUCCCCCAGGAGUACCCCUAGCCUCUCCCAGUCUCUAGCCCAGUAGUUUCCUCAGCACGCCCCUACGUUAAACGCAGAGAUUUCACCAAGGACUUACCGAACCGGCUACGGAUGCUUUAGGCCAAAUAAUCGUGCUCACCACUUGGGACGCCGGUAUUACCGCGGCUGCUGCCACCGGUCUUGCCCAUCCCUUAUUCGCCAGACUUUUUACACCUGACAAAAGCCCGUCCGAAGACGAGCACUGAGGCUGGCUCUGUCACCCUUUCGGACAUUGCAGAAGUUUCGCGCCUGCUGCGCCCCGUAGGGCCUGGACUCGUGUCUCAGAGUCCAUCUCCGGGCUUCCCCGCUCAGGGCCCGUACCCGUUUUAGGCUAGUUGGGCCGUUACCCCAACUACUACCUGAUAGGCCGCAGACCCAUCCUCAGGCGCCGAAGCUUUCAGUCAUGGAGCAUUCCAGCGACCAUGACCUAUGGGGUAUUAGCCUCAGUUUCCCGAGAUUAUCCCCCACCUGAGGGCAGGUUAUCCACGUGUUACUGAGCAGU
rnacentral:rRNA from 1 species